rnacentral:lncRNA from 1 species
CCUGCAACAGAAAGUUUAAGAUAACACAUACACAGAGUAGGCAAAAAUUCUCCUGUGUAGGCAAAAAGUAAAUCAAUCCAAUCAAAGCACUCGUGAUUAUAGGCCUGAAAAAGGGAAAGCGCAUAGGUCACUCAGAGUCGCAGAAGACAAGUGAAAAGUCUAUCGAAGUUUCACCGUUUUGAAAUAAUUCGUUCCUUUCACAUUCGUUCGAGCUGCUUCGCUCCUUUGCGGUAAUGAUUACCCCUUUUAGAGCGUAUAGGGAG